CUGCGGAAAAAAAGUGCUUUCACUCAGGACUUUUUUGAAAACACGGUUUACUCCUUGAGAUUAUAAUGUAAAACGGAUGCCGGCAGGUU